rnacentral:snRNA from 1 species
AACGCCACUAUUGAUACCACGUCA